rnacentral:rRNA from 1 species
AACGGGGAGGAGCCCAGAGCCUGAAUCAGUGUGUGUGUUAGUGGAAGCGUCUGGAAAGGCGCGCGAUACAGGGUGACAGCCCCGUACACAAAAAUGCACAUACUGUGAGCUCGAUGAGUAGGGCGGGACACGUGGUAUCCUGUCUGAAUAUGGGGGGACCAUCCUCCAAGGCUAAAUACUCCUGACUGACCGAUAGUGAACCAGUACCGUGAGGGAAAGGCGAAAAGAACCCCGGCGAGGGGAGUGAAAAAGAACCUGAAACCGUGUACGUACAAGCAGUGGGAGCCUCUUUUAUGGGGUGACUGCGUACCUUUUGUAUAAUGGGUCAGCGACUUAUAUUCUGUAGCAAGGUUAACCGAAUAGGGGAGCCGAAGGGAAACCGAGUCUUAACUGGGCGUUAAGUUGCAGGGUAUAGACCCGAAACCCGGUGAUCUAGCCAUGGGCAGGUUGAAGGUUGGGUAACACUAACUGGAGGACCGAACCGACUAAUGUUGAAAAAUUAGCGGAUGACUUGUGGCUGGGGGUGAAAGGCCAAUCAAACCGGGAGAUAGCUGGUUCUCCCCGAAAGCUAUUUAGGUAGCGCCUCGUGAAUUCAUCUCCGGGGGUAGAGCACUGUUUCGGCAAGGGGGUCAUCCCGACUUACCAACCCGAUGCAAACUGCGAAUACCGGAGAAUGUUAUCACGGGAGACACACGGCGGGUGCUAACGUCCGUCGUGAAGAGGGAAACAACCCAGACCGCCAGCUAAGGUCCCAAAGUCAUGGUUAAGUGGGAAACGAUGUGGGAAGGCCCAGACAGCCAGGAUGUUGGCUUAGAAGCAGCCAUCAUUUAAAGAAAGCGUAAUAGCUCACUGGUCGAGUCGGCCUGCGCGGAAGAUGUAACGGGGCUAAACCAUGCACCGAAGCUGCGGCAGCGACGCUUAUGCGUUGUUGGGUAGGGGAGCGUUCUGUAAGCCUGUGAAGGUGUACUGUGAGGUAUGCUGGAGGUAUCAGAAGUGCGAAUGCUGACAUAAGUAACGAUAAAGCGGGUGAAAAGCCCGCUCGCCGGAAGACCAAGGGUUCCUGUCCAACGUUAAUCGGGGCAGGGUGAGUCGACCCCUAAGGCGAGGCCGAAAGGCGUAGUCGAUGGGAAACAGGUUAAUAUUCCUGUACUUGGUGUUACUGCGAAGGGGGGACGGAGAAGGCUAUGUUGGCCGGGCGACGGUUGUCCCGGUUUAAGCGUGUAGGCUGGUUUUCCAGGCAAAUCCGGAAAAUCAAGGCUGAGGCGUGAUGACGAGGCACUACGGUGCUGAAGCAACAAAUGCCCUGCUUCCAGGAAAAGCCUCUAAGCAUCAGGUAACAUCAAAUCGUACCCCAAACCGACACAGGUGGUCAGGUAGAGAAUACCAAGGCGCUUGAGAGAACUCGGGUGAAGGAACUAGGCAAAAUGGUGCCGUAACUUCGGGAGAAGGCACGCUGAUAUGUAGGUGAAGCGACUUGCUCGUGGAGCUGAAAUCAGUCGAAGAUACCAGCUGGCUGCAACUGUUUAUUAAAAACACAGCACUGUGCAAACACGAAAGUGGACGUAUACGGUGUGACGCCUGCCCGGUGCCGGAAGGUUAAUUGAUGGGGUUAGCGGUAACGCGAAGCUCUUGAUCGAAGCCCCGGUAAACGGCGGCCGUAACUAUAACGGUCCUAAGGUAGCGAAAUUCCUUGUCGGGUAAGUUCCGACCUGCACGAAUGGCGUAAUGAUGGCCAGGCUGUCUCCACCCGAGACUCAGUGAAAUUGAACUCGCUGUGAAGAUGCAGUGUACCCGCGGCAAGACGGAAAGACCCCGUGAACCUUUACUAUAGCUUGACACUGAACAUUGAGCCUUGAUGUGUAGGAUAGGUGGGAGGCUUUGAAGUGUGGACGCCAGUCUGCAUGGAGCCGACCUUGAAAUACCACCCUUUAAUGUUUGAUGUUCUAACGUUGGCCCCUGAUCGGGGUUGCGGACAGUGUCUGGUGGGUAGUUUGACUGGGGCGGUCUCCUCCUAAAGAGUAACGGAGGAGCACGAAGGUUGGCUAAUCCUGGUCGGACAUCAGGAGGUUAGUGCAAUGGCAUAAGCCAGCUUGACUGCGAGCGUGACGGCGCGAGCAGGUGCGAAAGCAGGUCAUAGUGAUCCGGUGGUUCUGAAUGGAAGGGCCAUCGCUCAACGGAUAAAAGGUACUCCGGGGAUAACAGGCUGAUACCGCCCAAGAGUUCAUAUCGACGGCGGUGUUUGGCACCUCGAUGUCGGCUCAUCACAUCCUGGGGCUGAAGUAGGUCCCAAGGGUAUGGCUGUUCGCCAUUUAAAGUGGUACGCGAGCUGGGUUUAGAACGUCGUGAGACAGUUCGGUCCCUAUCUGCCGUGGGCGCUGGAGAACUGAGGGGGGCUGCUCCUAGUACGAGAGGACCGGAGUGGACGCAUCACUGGUGUUCGGGUUGUCAUGCCAAUGGCACUGCCCGGUAGCUAAAUGCGGAAGAGAUAAGUGCUGAAAGCAUCUAAGCACGAAACUUGCCCCGAGAUGAGUUCUCCCUGAGACUUUAAGUCUCCUGAAGGAACGUUGAAGACGACGACGUUGAUAGGCCGGGUGUGUAAGCGCAGCGAUGCGUUGAGCUAACCGGUACUAAUGAACCGUGAGG